rfam:Aedes aegypti strain Liverpool supercont1.81 genomic scaffold, whole genome shotgun sequence.
UGUCCAGUAACUCCUAUCCCUACCUCCCCGUGGUGCCGCAUGGGGUAUGAGUAACCGUAGGAAAGAUCGGUUAACCAACCCCGAUGGGACCUUGGUCGUAUGCUGACAGGGAAGG